AACCACAAAAAUUUAUGGACCACGAGAUCUCAGAAAACGUUCAAUUUCCGAGCGGCCUGUAGCAGAAGUCAGUAAAACCGAGCAUCUCAAUGUUGGUCACAUAUACUGGUAGAGGCUGUAAAUGCGAAUUCUAGGCUGUGUUUUGAGGCUGCGCAGAUAUUCAGCUUUUUCUCAGAACUCGAGUUCCAUGAAAUCAUGUUGUUGA
rnacentral:lncRNA from 1 species